rnacentral:rRNA from 1 species
AACAAACGCUGGCGGCGUGCCUAAUACAUGCAAGUCGAACGGGGAAAGCUUUCGGGUGAGUACUAGUGGCGCACGGGUGAGGAACGCGUGGAUAAUCUGCCUUAGAGUGGGGGAUAACUAGUCGAAAGAUUAGCUAAUACCGCAUAAGACCACGAGAGCUGCGGCUUUUGAGGUCAAAGGUUUUUCGCUCUAAGAUGAGUCCGCGUAAGAUUAGCUAGUUGGUGAGGUAACGGCUCACCAAGGCGACGAUCUUUAACUGGUCUGAGAGGAUGAUCAGUCACACUGGAACUGAGACACGGUCCAGACUCCUACGGGAGGCAGCAGUAGGGAAUAUUGCACAAUGGAGGAAACUCUGAUGCAGCGACGCCGCGUGAGUGAUGAAGGCCUUCGGGUCGUAAAGCUCUGUCGCAGGGGAAUAACACAAUGAAGGUACCCUGUAAGAAAGAAUCGGCUAACUUCGUG